rnacentral:rRNA from 1 species
UAGUAUCAGCCCUACGGGAGGCAGCAGUGAGGAAUAUUGGACAAUGGGCGAGAGCCUGAUCCAGCCAUGCCGCGUGCAGGAAGACUGCCCUAUGGGUUGUAAACUGCUUUUAUACAGGAAGAAUAAGCCUUACGUGUAAGGUGAUGACGGUACUGUAAGAAUAAGGACCGGCUAACUCCGUGCCAGCAGCCGCGGUAAUACGGAGGGUCCGAGCGUUAUCCGGAAUUAUUGGGUUUAAAGGGUCCGUAGGCGGAUGAUUAAGUCAGGGGUGAAAGUUUGCAGCUCAACUGUAAAAUUGCCUUUGAUACUGGUCAUCUUGAGUUGUAUUGAAGUAGGCGGAAUAUGUAGUGUAGCGGUGAAAUGCAUAGAUAUUACAUAGAACACCAAUUGCGAAGGCAGCUUACUAAGUACUAACUGACGCUGAUGGACGAAAGCGUGGGUAGCGAACAGGAUUAGAUACCCCGGUAGUCCA